rnacentral:rRNA from 1 species
AUUACCGCGGCUGCUGGCACGUAGUUAGCCGUGGCUUUCUGGUUAGGUACCGUCAAGGUGCCAGCUUAUUCAACUAGCACUUGUUCUUCCCUAACAACAGAGUUUUACGACCCGAAAGCCUUCAUCACUCACGCGGCGUUGCUCCGUCAGACUUUCGUCCAUUGCGGAAGAUUCCCUACUGCUGCC